UACGGAGGGGGCUAGCGUUGUUCGGAAUUACUGGGCGUAAAGCGCGCGUAGGCGGCUUUGUAAGUUAGGGGUGAAAGCCCGGAGCUCAACUCCGGAAUUGCCCUUAAGACUGCAUCGCUAGAACGUCGGAGAGGUAAGUGGAAUUCCGAGUGUAGAGGUGAAAUUCGUAGAUAUUCGGAAGAACACCAGUGGCGAAGGCGACUUACUGGCCGACUGUUGACGCUGAGGUGCGAAAGCGUGGGGAGUAAACAGG
rnacentral:rRNA from 1 species